rnacentral:tRNA from 1 species
GCCUCCUUAGCUCAGUGGCAGAGCAGCGCUCUUGUAAAGCGCAGGUCGUCAGUUCAAUCCUGACAGGGGGCU